UACAGAGGUCUCAAGCGUUGUUCGGAUUCAUUGGGCGUAAAGGGUGCGUAGGCGGCGCGGUAAGUCGGGUGUGAAAUCUCGGAGCUUAACUCCGAAACUGCAUUCGAUACUGCCGUGCUUGAGGACUGGAGAGGAGACUGGAAUUUACGGUGUAGCGGUGAAAUGCGUAGAUAUCUGGAGGAACACCGGUGGCGAAGGCGGCAUCCUGGACCGACACUGACACUGAGGAGCGAAAGCCAGGGAGCAAACGGG
rnacentral:rRNA from 1 species